rnacentral:rRNA from 1 species
AACCCGCCUGCGUGAAGUUGGAAUCGCUAGUAAUCGCGGAUCAGCAUGCCGCGGUGAAUACGUUCCCGGGCCUUGUACACACCGCCCGUCACACCAUGAGAGUUGGGAAUACCCGAAGCCUGUGAGCUAACUUUUAGAGGCAGCAGUCGAAGGUAGAAUCAAUGAUUGGGGUGAAGUCGUAACAAGGUACC